UCUCCGUUAUCCGGAGCAGUCCACGUAGAGUUCCCUCCUUGCGGAGUGGCAACUACGUGCAGGGGUUGCGCUCGUUGCGGGACUUAACCCGACACCUCACGGCACGAGCUGACGACAGCCAUGCAGCGCCUCCACACUUGUCUCUUGCGAGAAGGCGAUGUUUCCACCACUGGUCAGUAGCGGUUCAAGCCCAGGUAAGGUUCUUCGCGUUGCGUCGAAUUGAACCACAUGCUCCACCGCUUGUGCGGGCCCCCGUCAAUUCCUUUGAGUUUCAACCUUGCGGUCGUACUCCCCAGGCGGGGUACUUCCUGCGUUAGCGCCGGCACCCAGAGGGUCGCUCCCCCAGGCACCUAGUACCCAUCGUUUACGGCGUGGACUAC
rnacentral:misc_RNA from 1 species